rnacentral:tRNA from 3 species
CCCAUCGUCUAGAGGCCUAGGACACCGCCCUUUCACGGCGGUAACAGGGGUUCGAAUCCCCUUGGGGACGCCA